rnacentral:piRNA from 1 species
GCCCAGACAGCGGAGCACAGGAG